AGUACCUCAUGAGUGGUGGAAUUCAAACAGAAGCUUUCCUGUUCUUUAGGCCAUGCACUGAAAAUUCCGGAGGGUAUGCCUAGAGGUGCUGGACUUCACCACAUUCUCUCUGCUCACCUCAACGGAACAGGCAGCAAGUUCAUUGCAGCUGCUCUGGAUGCCUGUCAGAAGGACUUACGGACAUUUACAAAGGAAGAACACAGUGUCACAACAACGGCAAGGACACAGGUAUCACCCUGGCAUUAGUUAGUCCCUCGUUGCCCCAGGGACGCUGCGGUUGAGUGGCACAUCAUUGCAGUGGCAGACAAACCAUUUAGAAGCAAGCAUUUUGUUCUGAAGAAGAUGCCUGAGGGUUUCCAAACUGACUGUGAAGCUGUGGUAUGCAGUUCUGCCUCCGGUACAUCUCUGUUUCUUUAAAGUGGACACCACCUUCCACUUCCUCACCUGAUCUGAACAGGACUCUAGGAGACCUGAUGACUGUGUUUCCACAAGCAAGGAGAAGACUCUCUGAAGACAGCCAAGCCACGCCAUUGUGUUGUAGACUAUUCUGUAAAGAAGACAGCACUAAUGCCAAAGUACCGCAAGCAGACUAAACAGAAUAAUAGCAAGUAUGUCACACCAACCCUGUGGUAUCUUUAUAUUAUGGGGAAAAGAGCAAGUCACAGAUGGUUCUGGUCACCACCCCAAGAUCAGUCAUUGGG